GACAGAGGGUGCAAACGUUGUUCGGAAUUACUGGGCGUAAAGCGUGCGCAGGCGGUUGUGCAAGACAGAUGUGAAAUCCCCGGGCUUAACCUGGGAAUGGCAUUGGUGACUGUACGGCUAGAGUGUGUCAGAGGGGGUAGAAUUCCACGUGUAGCAGUGAAAUGCGUAGAGAUGCGGAGGAACACCGAUGGCGAAGGCAGCCCCUGGGCUAACACUGACGCUCAGGCACGAAAGCGUGGGGAGCAAACAGG
rnacentral:rRNA from 1 species